rnacentral:lncRNA from 1 species
UUUUGAAUAUCUAAGUCACUAAAUAGAGUAGAAAGACAUAAUUUCUUUAAUUAUUUACAAGUAAGAAACUCUUACAAUGUGAGGGAGGAAAAAAAAUAAAAAUAAAGAAAUAUUAAAGAAAAUAAAAUGUAAAGAAAUAGAUUUUAGUUUUUAAAAUUGUUGAUUAUUGAAUAAGAUAUUUCUUGUCCAACAAAUUAUAUAAAUAGAUCAUACCUAUUCCUAUUGGUUCG